rnacentral:rRNA from 1 species
GAUGAACGCUGGCGGCGUGCCUAAUACAUGCAAGUCGAGCGAACAGACGAGGAGCUUGCUCCUCUGACGUUAGCGGCGGACGGGUGAGUAACACGUGGAUAACCUACCUAUAAGACUGGGAUAACUUCGGGAAACCGGAGCUAGUACCGGAUAAUCUAUUGAACCGCAUGGUUCAAUAGUGAAAUACGGUUUUGCUGUCACUUAUAGAUGGAUCCGCGCCGCAUUAGCUAGUUGGUAAGGUAACGGCUUACCAAGGCAACGAUGCGUAGCCGACCUGAGAGGGUGAUCGGCCACACUGGAACUGAGACACGGUCCAGACUCCUACGGGAGGCAGCAGUAGGGAAUCUUCCGCAAUGGGCGAAAGCCUGACGGAGCAACGCCGCGUGAGUGAUGAAGGUCUUCGGAUCGUAAAACUCUGUUAUGAGGGAAGAACAAAUGUGUAAGUAACUAUGCACGUCUUGACGGUACCUAAUCAGAAAGCCACGGCUAACUACGUG